rnacentral:rRNA from 1 species
UACAGAGGGGGCAAGCGUUGUUCGGAAUUACUGGGCGUAAAGGGCGCGUAGGCGGCCUUCUAAGUCGAACGUGAAAUCCCCGGGCUCAACCCGGGAACUGCGUCCGAUACUGGAAGGCUUGAAUCCGGGAGAGGGAUGCGGAAUUCCAGGUGUAGCGGUGAAAUGCGCAGAUAUCAGGAGGAACUCCGGUGGCGAAGGCGGCCUGCUGGACCCCUCCUGACGCUGAGGCGCGAAAGCCAGGGGAGCGAACGGG